GAUGAAGAACGCAGCGAAAUGCGAUAAGUAGUGUGAAUUGCAGAAUUCAGUGAAUCAUCGAAUCUUUGAACGCACAUUGCGCCCCUUGGUAUCCCGAGGGGCAUGCCUGUUCGAGCGUCAUUUCACCACUCAAGCCUGGCUUGGUGUUGGGCGACGUCCCCUUUGGGGACGCGCCUCGAAACGCUCGGCGGCGUGGCACCGGCUUUAAGCGUAGCAGAAUCUUUCGCUUUGGAAGUCGGGGCCCCGUCUGCCGGAAGACCUACUCGCAAGGUUGACCUCGGAUCAGGCAGGGAUACCCGCUGAACUUAAGCAUAUCAAAGCGGAGGA
rnacentral:misc_RNA from 1 species